rnacentral:rRNA from 1 species
GUGCCAGCCGCCGCGGUAAUUCCAGCUCCAAUAGCGUAUAUUAAAGUUGUUGUGGUUAAAAAGCUCGUAGUUGAACCUUGGGCCUGGCUGGCCGGUCCGCCUCACCGCGUGCACUGGUCCGGCCGGGCCUUUCCCUCUGUGGAACCCCAUACCCUUCACUGGGCGUGGCGGGGAAACAGGACAUUUACUUUGAAAAAAUUAGAGUGCUCCAGGCAGGCCUAUGCUCGAAUACAUUAGCAUGGAAUAAUAAAAUAGGACGCGCGGUUCUAUUUUGUUGGUUUAUAGGACCGCCGUAAUGAUUAAUAGGGACAGUCGGGGGCAUCAGUAUUCAACUGUCAGAGGUGAAAUUCUUGGAUCAGUUGAAGACUAACUACUGCGAAAGCAUUUGCCAAGGAUGUUUUCAUUAAUCAGGAACGAAAGUUAGGGGAUCGAAGACGAUCAGAUACCGUCGUAGUCUUAACCAUAAACUAUGCCGACUAGGGAUCGGACGGUGUUAUUCAUGACCCGUUCGGCACCUUACGAGAAAUCAAAGUGCUUGGGCUCCAGGGGGAGUAUGGUCGCAAGGCUGAAACUUAAAGAAAUUGACGGAAGGGCACCACCAGGGGUGGAGCCUGCGGCUUAAUUUGACUCAACACGGGGAAACUCACCAGGUCCAGACACAAUAAGGAUUGACAGAUUGAGAGCUCUUUCUUGAUUUUGUGGUGGUGGUGCAUGGCCGUUCUUAGUUGGUGGGGUGACUUGUCUGCUUAAUUGCGAUAACGAACGAGACCUUACUGCUAAAUAGCCCGCAUUGCUCCGGCAGUGCGCUGCUUCUUAGGAGGGACUUUCGGCUUCAGGCCGAAGGAAAG